CCUCCCUUAGUAGUUGUCUCUUCUGCAGCUCUCCAAAUUUCUUAGAAGCCUCUUUGUUCCUCCUGCCUCUUCAAGCAAGAGCAACAGAUGUUUCCUGUCUGUUUCUGGAUAGCAGAGAGCUCUGGGGUAGAAAUGGUCAAAACUUUGUUCUGUCGUGCUUAUGAGUGAGACAGCGUGUGAAAAAACAAACUGAGGACCCUGUUCUUGAAUGCCGAACAUGUAAAAAGGGGGCAGAAUUAACUGGCCUGAUGUCACUUCAAGGGAUCUUUACAUCUGGGAAUGUUAAGAUCCCUGUUUCUUGAAGCCUGGAAGUUUUGUAUGUGCUAAGGAAUUAAAAUGGAAAGGUCCAAGAUAAGCUACAAACAAGUACCUGAGCUAGGAGUACAUACUUUUCUGUCUUCAGCCAGGAUUACAGAUAUUUGCCUUCAGAAUUCAGCCGCAAAAUCUGGAAACAUUUCUGAACCAAUUUGUGCAUCCUUUAGGCCCCAGGUGCUUCUUUCCAUGUGCAAGCAUUUGAGAGUCCCCUGGUCCUGUAAUGAGGUGUAUCAGCUCGUGACUUUGUCGCAUGUCCUGUCACAGAACAGACACAAUAUGCAGACUAUGAAUUGA
rnacentral:lncRNA from 1 species